ACACGACUACAUUAGAUACCCGUGUAGUCCCAGCCCUAAACGAUGCGCGCUAGGUGUAUCGGUGACCACGAGUCACCGAGGUGCCGAAGGGAAACCGUGAAACGUGCCGCCUGGGAAGUACGGUCGCAAGGCUGAGACUUAAAGGAAUUGGCGGGGAGCACCACAACGGGUGGAGCUUGCGGUUUAAUUGGAUUCAACGCCGGAAAUCUUACCGGGACCGACAGCAACAUGAAGGCCAGGCUGAAGACUUUGCCGGAUUAGCUG
rnacentral:rRNA from 1 species